rnacentral:rRNA from 1 species
CCUACGGGAGGCAGCAGUGAGGAAUAUUGGUCAAUGGACGUAAGUCUGAACCAGCCAAGUAGCGUGAAGGAUGACUGCCCUAUGGGUUGUAAACUUCUUUUAUACGGGAAUAAAACGCGGCACGUGUGCCUUUUUGCAUGUACUUUAUGAAUAAGGACCGGCUAAUUCCGUGCCAGCAGCCGCGGUAAUACGGAAGGUCCGGGCGUUAUCCGGAUUUAUUGGGUUUAAAGGGAGCGUAGAUGGGGUGUUAAGGCAGUCGUGAAAGUCUGGGGCUCAACCGUGGAAUUGCGAUUGAAACUGGCUGUCUUGAGUGCGGGUAAGGUAUGCGGAAUUCGUGGUGUAGCGGUGAAAUGCUUAGAUAUCACGAAGAACCCCGAUUGCGAAGGCAGCUUACGAAAGUGUGACUGACACUGAUGCUCGAAAGUGUGGGUAUCAAACAGGAUUAGAUACCCCAGUAGUC